rnacentral:rRNA from 1 species
UACGUAGGGUGCGAGCGUUUGUCCGGAAUUAUUGGGCGUAAAGAGCUCGUAGGCGGUUUGUCGCGUCUGCUGUGAAAACGCGAGGCUCAACCUCGCGCCUGCAGUGGGUACGGGCAGACUAGAGUGCGGUAGGGGAGAUUGGAAUUCCUGGUGUAGCGGUGGAAUGCGCAGAUAUCAGGAGGAACACCGAUGGCGAAGGCAGAUCUCUGGGCCGUAACUGACGCUGGAGGAGCGAAAGCGUGGGGAGCGAACAGG